rnacentral:tmRNA from 1 species
GGGGGUGACCAGGAUUCGACGGAGGUAAUUGCGAUACAGGUUGCAUGUCGAGGUCUCCGCAGGCCUCGUAAAAUAGGCGGAACAACUAUAAUUGCUGAUGAAGAAUUAGCACUAGCUGCUUAGUAAGCAGCUACGCUUGGCUGAUCUGCUGCCCGUCAGAGAUGCUAAAGUGCCGUAAUACGGGAUAGCGGUUUAGUUGUUCUCAAGGGGUAAAUCGCGAAACAUACUUGAGAUAGUCAUUUCUGAUUCCAGCACAGGGGAACAUAAAUGAUGAAAACUUAAACCUGUGAUAAGCAUGUAGUAGCCUUUAUCAAUAUGCUUUCGGACGCGGGUUCAAUUCCCGCCACCUCCAUCA